rnacentral:rRNA from 1 species
AACGAACGCUGGCGGCAGGCCUAACACAUGCAAGUCGAGCGAGGACUUCGGUCCUAGCGGCGGACGGGUGAGUAACGCGUGGGAACGUGCCCCCUUUCUACGGAAUAGCCCCGGGAAACUGGGAGUAAUACCGUAUAAGCCCUACGGGGGGAAAGAUUUAUCGGGAAGGGAUCGGCCCGCGUUGGAUUAGGUAGUUGGUGGGGUAAUGGCCUACCAAGCCGACGAUCCAUAGCUGGUUUGAGAGGAUGAUCAGCCACACUGGGACUGAGACACGGCCCAGACUCCUACGGGAGGCAGCAGUGGGGAAUCUUAGACAAUGGGCGCAAGCCUGAUCUAGCCAUGCCGCGUGAGCGAUGAAGGCCUUAGGGUUGUAAAGCUCUUUCAGGGGGGAAGAUAAUGACUGUACCCCCAGAAGAAGCCCCGGCUAACUCCGUG